UAAGCCUGUGAAGGUGGCCUGUGAGGGUUGCUGGAGGUAUCAGAAGUGCGAAUGCUGACAUAAGUAACGAUAAAGCGGGUGAAAAGCCCGCUCGCCGGAAGACCAAGGGUUCCUGUCCAACGUUAAUCGGGGCAGGGUGAGUCGACCCCUAAGGCGAGGCCGAAAGGCGUAGUCGAUGGGAAACGGGUUAAUAUUCCCGUACUUGGUGUUACUGCGAAGGGGGGACGGAGAAGGCUAUGUUGGCCGGGCGACGGUUGUCCCGGUUUAAGCGUGUAGGUGUGUGUUCCAGGUAAAUCCGGUUCACUUUAACACUGAGGCGUGAUGACGAGGCACUACGGUGCUGAAGCA
rnacentral:rRNA from 1 species